rnacentral:tRNA from 1 species
GGACCAGUGACCCGAGUGGCGAUGGGCCCAGACUCUUAAUCUGGUAUACAAACACCGUGGGUUCGAAUCCCACCUGGUCCUCCA